rnacentral:rRNA from 1 species
AGAGUUUGAUCCUGGCUUAGGAUGAACGCUAGCUACAGGCUUAACACAUGCAAGUCGAGGGGCAGCAUUGGAGUAGCAAUACUCAGAUGGCGACCGGCGCACGGGUGAGUAACACGUAUCCAACCUGCCGCUUACUCGGGGAUAGCCUUUCGAAAGAAAGAUUAAUACCCGAUGGUAUAAAGAGUUCGCAUGUUCUCUUUAUUAAAGAAUUUCGGUAAGCGAUGGGGAUGCGUUCCAUUAGAUAGUUGGCGGGGUAACGGCCCACCAAGUCUACGAUGGAUAGGGGUUCUGAGAGGAAGGUCCCCCACAUUGGAACUGAGACACGGUCCAAACUCCUACGGGAGGCAGCAGUGAGGAAUAUUGGUCAAUGGACGAGAGUCUGAACCAGCCAAAGUAGCGUGAAGGAUGACUGCCCUAUGGGUUGUAAACUUCUUUUAUAAGGGAAUAAAGUGAGGGACGUGUCCCUUUUUGUAUGUACCUUAUGAAUAAGGAUCGGCUAACUCCGUGCCAGCCGCGGC